GUGGGGAAUAUUGGACAAUGGGCGCAAGCCUGAUCCAGCCAUGCCGCGUGAGUGAUGAAGGCCUUAGGGUUGUAAAGCUCUUUCAGUGGGGACGAUAAUGACGGUACCCACAGAAGAAGCCCCGGCUAACUUCGUGCCAGCAGCCGCGGUAAUACGAAGGGGGCUAGCGUUGUUCGGAUUUACUGGGCGUAAAGCGCACGUAGGCGGAUUGGUCAGUUAGAGGUGAAAUCCCGAAGCUCAACUUCGGAACUGCCUUUAAUACUGCCAGUCUCGAGUCCGGAAGAGGUGAGUGGAACUCCUAGUGUAGAGGUGGAAUUCGUAGAUAUUAGGAAGAACACCAGUGGCGAAGGCGGCUCACUGGUCCGGUACUGACGCUGAGGUGCGAAAGCGUGGGGAGCAAACAGGAUUAGAAACCCUGGUAGUCC
rnacentral:rRNA from 1 species